rnacentral:rRNA from 1 species
AUUGAACGCUGGCGGCAUGCCUUACACAUGCAAGUCGAACGGCAGCACGGGAGCAAUCCUGGUGGCGAGUGGCGAACGGGUGAGUAAUGUAUCGGAACGUGCCCAGUCGUGGGGGAUAACGUAGCGAAAGCUACGCUAAUACCGCAUACGAUCUAUGGAUGAAAGCGGGGGAUCGCAAGACCUCGCGCGAUUGGAGCGGCCGAUAUCAGAUUAGGUAGUUGGUGGGGUAAAGGCCCACCAAGCCUGCGAUCUGUAGCUGGUCUGAGAGGACGACCAGCCACACGGGAACUGAGACACGGUCCAGACUCCGACGGGAGGCAGCAGUGGGGAAUUUUGGACAAUGGGCGCAAGCCUGAUCCAGCAAUGCCGCGUGCAGGAUGAAGGCCUUCGGGUUGUAAACUGCUUUUGUACGGAACGAAACGGCUUUUUCUAAUACAGAGAGCUAAUGACGGUACCGUAAGAAUAAGCACCGGCUAACUACGUGCCAGCAGCCGCCGUAAAAC